AAUUGAAGAGUUUGAUCAUGGCUCAGAUUGAACGCUGGCGGCAGGCCUAACACAUGCAAGUCGAAC
rnacentral:rRNA from 1 species